AUUAAGCAUAAUAAAUUAUGGAGACUAUCAUGAAUUUUAGAUUUACCUAGAAAGUUUGUUCCUCAUUUGAAUUCAUAGCAAUGCAACUAAAACACUUUUCCUUCCCUGGGUUUUGGCAUAGUGGCUAGAAUAUUGGACUUGGAGUCAGGAAGUCCUGGAUUCAAAUCUCGAUUCUGAAGAACCUACUAUUCAUGUGACCAUUGGCAAGUCACAGCCUCUCAAUGCCCUGAGAAAAUUCUCCAAACUACAAAUUACAGUUUGUUCCUGAAUUGAAGAACACAGGACUUACAAUCAAGAGUGAUAGCAGACAAGAGUGGUAUGCUGACCAGAUGAUGAAGAGCACAGACUUUCUACAAUCAACAUCAAAGGACAUGGAAGGACUUGACAAAAAGGGAGGAAUGUGGAGAAGAGAGAAAUUACAAGAAAAUGCAGCAAGACAAGAAGCUGGACAUAGGUCAGCUGUCAGCUAAAUGAAGAUUCUGUUUGGAAUGUUACUGGGAAAAGCAGUCUGGAGCCAAGUCAACGGUGACUGGAUUUCUGGGCUUUGGGCUGAUGGUGGUAACUUGGAAAGAAGAAGCUGGAUUUAUCUCUGGGACUUGGGAUAAUCAAGCUGGAGGUGGCCUGGUUGAUUUGAAGGCAGAAGAAGAAGGACAAUAGUCCAUAUAUCUCUCUGUUUGACUAGUUCUGUUUCAUGGUAGUGACUGAAUUGAUAUUUCUCUCAAUAUCCUCUAACCUAAGACUCCCUGUAGAUAAUAGGGAAACCUCCAACCCUCUUACCUUAUCCUCUAUCUUUCCUAUUUUCCCCAAUAAACCCUUACUUGAGAUAAAGAAGAGAAAAGAGUAUUUCCUCUGAAACAUCAUAGUUCACGCUGAGUGAUUUAGAAGGAGGCUGAAGAAGAAGGGGGAAGGGGAAAUUGAAGGAAAGAAGAGGGGAGGAAAGGAGAUUAGAAGCGGGAGGAAGGGAAGUAUAAAAGGGAAGAGGGUAGUCAAAAGAAGAUAACUACCUGAUCCAUUAGUUAUCUAGUAUCCAUCAAAUAUACACCCUCCAUUAUCAUCUAUAACACACCCCUUCACCUAGCCAUUUGAUAAAGGUAGAAAAAAAUAGCUGUAGCUAUCCAAUGAAGAGCAAUGGUGUACCCUGAGAAGAAUGUCAGGACAAAGCCAAACUAAUUGAGCAGUGGACUAACAAAUAGUGAACUUUGUGAGAUCCAGCUGGGUAAAAAAGAUAUUAGAGUCCUAUUUUUCUAGAGUUGUGAGGUACCUUCUUACAAUUGUACUUUAAGUUUGUGCCCACUCUUUCUCUUGCUCCAACUCUGGGUAUAUUUUUAUGUGUUAGGGGAAAUGCUUUAUGACUUAUUCUUGCCUUACCAUUUAAGUAAAUUUUUGUUAAAAGAACUGAA